rnacentral:rRNA from 1 species
GGAUCGGAGUCUGCAACCCGACUCCGUGAAGCCGGAUUCGCUAGUAAUCGCGCAUCAGCCAUGGCGCGGUGAAUACGUUCCCGGGCCUUGUACACACCGCCCGUCAAGCCAUGGAAGCCGGGGGCGCUUGAAGUGCGUUGCCGCAAGGCGCGCCCUAGAGCGAAACCGGUGACUGGGGCUAAGUCGUAACAAGGUACC